rnacentral:misc_RNA from 1 species
GAUGAAGAACGUAGCGAAAUGCGAUAAGUAAUGUGAAUUGCAGAAUUCAGUGAAUCAUCGAAUCUUUGAACGCACAUUGCGCCCCCUGGUAUUCCGGGGGGCAUGCCUGUCCGAGCGUCAUUACAACCCUCAAGCUCAGCUUGGUGUUGGGCCCCGCCGCCCCGGCGGGCCCUAAAGUCAGUGGCGGUGCCGUCCGGCUCCGAGCGUAGUAAUUCUUCUCGCUCUGGAGGUCCGGUCGUGUGCUCGCCAGCAACCCCCAAUUUUUUUCAGGUUGACCUCGGAUCAGGUAAGGAUACCCGCUGAACUUAAGCAUAUCAAUAAGCGGAGGA